rnacentral:rRNA from 1 species
CAGUAGCCGCGGUAAUACGUAGGUGGCAAGCGUUGUCCGGAAUUAUUGGGCGUAAAGGGCUCGCAGGCGGUUUCUUAAGUCUGAUGUGAAAGCCCCCGGCUCAACCGGGGAGGGUCAUUGAAAACUGGGAAACUUGAGUGCAGAAGAGGAGAGUGGAAUUCCACGUGUAGCGGUGAAAUGCGUAGAGAUGUGGAGGAACACCAGUGGCGAAGGCGACUCUCUGGUCUGUAACUGUCGCUGAGGAGCGAAAGCGUGGGGAGCGAACAGGAUUAGAUACCCCCGUAGUCCCUGUCUCUUAUAA